rnacentral:misc_RNA from 1 species
AAGGAGAGAGUGUGAGAGGUUGGGUAGAGGGAGGAGAACGCAACCGCGGCCUUCGCUGUGCAUGCUGGGUAAUUAGUUGAUCUUGAGUCAACAGCGUGUCGUCGUCGUCCAUUUGUAUGUCGUUUUGGAGUCCAAACCUACGUCUAAAUAAUGGAUUGUAAGAUCUACGUUGGAGACCUGCCGAGAGAUGCGUCCGAGAAGGAAAUUGAACGGGCAUUCUGCUACUACGGCCCGCUGAGGAACGUCUGGGUUGCUCGCAACCCUUCUGGUUUUGCCUUUGUGGAGUUUGAAGAUCCCAGGGAUGCGGAAGAUGCUGUUCGAGCCCUUGAUGGAACAAAUGUUUGCGGCGCCAGGGUCAGAGUGGAACACUCGACCGGGAAAGUUCGUCCGAAACCCUGGAUGAGGGGUGGUCGUGGAUCAUCGAAGACCAGGAGACCAUUCCAUCCUGAAGACAGAUGCUUUGAAUGUGGCGACAGGGGACACUAUGCCUACGACUGCUCUCGGUACAAGCGCACCGGUCGGUCUCGGUACUCAAAGCGGCACUCCAAACCAUUCCUGCUACGUAGAGAUGUGGGACUCAUUUGAGAGCUUCAUUGCACCACAGCUUAAGAUCUCUUCAGCCCACCUUUGAGCUUCUACUAAAUGUUGAUCAUCGUUGAUUUGAAUCCCGCUCUCGUUCGCGGUCCGGAAGGAGUUACUCCCGCAGCUGGAGUCGCAGUCGGAGUCAUAGCCGCUCCCCCCGGAGGGCCAGCA